rnacentral:rRNA from 1 species
AGAGUUUGAUCAUGGCUCAGGAUGAACGCUGGCGGCGUGCUUAACACAUGCAAGUCGAACGAGGAAUGAGAUGAAGUUUUCGGAUGGAUUCUUAUUCCGAGUGGCGGACGGGUGAGUAACGCGUGGGUAACCUGCCCUGUACAGGGGGAUAACAGUUGGAAACGACUGUUAAUACCGCAUAAGACCACAGUGCCGCAUGGCACAGGGGUAAAAACUCCGGUGGUACAGGAUGGACCCGCGUCCAAUUAGAUAGUUGGUGAGGUAACGGCCCACCAAGUCGACGAUUGGUAGCCGAUCUGAGAGGACGAACGGCCACAUUGGGACUGAGACACGGCCCAAACUCCUACGGGAGGCAGCAGUGGGGAAUAUUGCACAAUGGGGGAAACCCUGAUGCAGCGACGCCGCGUGAGUGAAGAAGUAUUUCGGUGUGUAAAGCUCUAUCAGCAGGGAAGAAAAUGACGGUACCUGAGUAAGAAGCCCCGGCUAACUACGUGCCAGCAGCCGCGGUAAUACGUAGGGGGCAAGCGUUAUCCGGAUUUACUGGGUGUAAAGGGAGCGCAGACGGCUGGACAAGUCUGAAGUGAAAUUCCCGGGCUCAACCCUGGAACUGCUUUGGAAACUGCCCGGCUUGAGUGCUGGAGAGGUAAGCGGAAUUCCUGGUGUAGCGGUGAAAUGCGUAGAUAUCAGGAAGAACACCGGUGGCGAAGGCGGCUUACUGGACAGUAACUGACGUUCAUGCUCGAAGGCGUGGGGAGCAAACAGGAUUAGAUACCCUGGUAGUCCACGCGGUAAACGAUGAAUACUAGGUGUUGGCAUCCAAAGGAUGUCGGUGCCGUCGCAAACGCAAUAAGUAUUCCACCUGGGGAGUACGUUCGCAAGAAUGAAACUCAAAGGAAUUGACGGGGACCCGCACAAGUAGUGGAGCAUGUGGUUUAAUUCGAAGCAACGCGAAGAACCUUACCAAGUCUUGACAUCCCGCUGACCGGCCUGUAAUGGGGCCUUCCCUUCGGGGCAGCGGAGACAGGUGGUGCAUGGUUGUCGUCAGCUCGUGUCGUGAGAUGUUGGGUUAAGUCCCGCAACGAGCGCAACCCUUAUUGCCAGUAGCCAGCACGUUAUGGUGGGCACUCUGGCGAGACUGCCCGGGAUAACCGGGAGGAAGGUGGGGAUGACGUCAAAUCAUCAUGCCCCUUAUGAUCUGGGCAACACACGCGCUACAAUGGCGUAAACAGAGAGAAGCGAACCUGCGAGGGGGAGCAAAUCUUCAAAUAACGUCUCAGUUCGGACUGUAGUCUGCAACCCGACUACACGAAGCUGGAAUUGCUAGUAAUCGCGAAUCAGCAUGUCGCGGUGAAUACGUUCCCGGGUCUUGUACACACCGCCCGUCACACCAUGGGAGUCAGCAACGCCCGAAGUCAGUGACCCAACCAAUCGGAGGGAGCUGCCGAAGGCGGGGCGGAUAACUGGGGUGAAGUCGUAACAAGGUAACCGUA